AUUCAUUUCCGGCGGCGGAGGCGGCAGUUUCCUAAGCUUGGCUUCUCUCCGGUCCGCUGACCGGCGUCAGGGACCAGGUUUUGGUAGCUGUGGGUAGCCUCAGUUGUCCUGGAAUGAAAGACGGUUUCGUGUUGGACAAGGACAUAUCUGCAGAAGGCCAGUUCUCUCGAACUCGUCGGACUUCCUGGCUCCCUGACCCCCAGUGACUCGUUUUUCCGUUUUCUCAGGUGCCUGUCUGGGCUCCUCUUCCUCUGGA
rnacentral:lncRNA from 1 species